UACGUAGGGCGCAAGCGUUAUCCGGAAUUAUUGGGCGUAAAGAGCUCGUAGGCGGUUUGUCGCGUCUGCCGUGAAAGUCCGGGGCUCAACUCCGGAUCUGCGGUGGGUACGGGCAGACUAGAGUGAUGUAGGGGAGACUGGAAUUCCUGGUGUAGCGGUGAAAUGCGCAGAUAUCAGGAGGAACACCGAUGGCGAAGGCAGGUCUCUGGGCCGCAACUGACGCUGAGGAGCGAAAGCAUGGGGAGCGAACAGG
rnacentral:rRNA from 1 species